rnacentral:rRNA from 1 species
CCUACGGGAGGCUGCAGUGUGGAAUAUUGGACAAUGGGCGAAAGCCUGAUCCAGCCAUGCCGCGUGUGUGAAGAAGGCCUUCGGGUUGUAAAGCACUUUCAGUGGGGAAGAAAGCCUUGGGGCUAAUACCCUCGAGGAAGGACAUCACCCACAGAAGAAGCACCGGCUAACUCCGUGCCAGCAGCCGCGGUAAUACGGAGGGUGCGAGCGUUAAUCGGAAUUACUGGGCGUAAAGCGCGCGUAGGCGGUCUGAUAAGCCGGUUGUGAAAGCCCCGGGCUCAACCUGGGAACGGCAUCCGGAACUGUCAGGCUAGAGUGCAGGAGAGGAAGGUAGAAUUCCCGGUGUAGCGGUGAAAUGCGUAGAGAUCGGGAGGAAUACCAGUGGCGAAGGCGGCCUUCUGGACUGACACUGACGCUGAGGUGCGAAAGCGUGGGUAGCAAACAGGAUUAGAUACCCUGGUAGUC